rnacentral:lncRNA from 1 species
UCUGGAUAUGGGGGUAACAUGGCGAAUUCUGGAGGAUAUGGAUCUGAUUGCAGUUCUCCCCCAGGAUGGAAAAGUGGAGACUGGAUUUGCCCUAGGUUAGUUCACAUUAUCUUCAUUUAGUUUGAGUACUGAAAUAGCAUCUAUUCAUUGAAAAACCAAUAAUUGAAAAUUUUAACAACUUCAUUGCUAGUUAUUCAUGUGCAUGGACUUCAUUACAAUCUAAAAGUGUUUUUCCUCAACUGCAUUUGUUCAAUAAAGAGCUUGCAUGUUCAAUUGCAACUUGAAAGACCAACUAUAUAUUGCCUAGAUAUCCAUUAUCAUAAAAGUAAAACAAUGUAAUUUAGUAACAAGUAAUUGAUAUACUCACAAAAGCUGCAUUUUCAUGCAUUGAAGGGGCAAUCUCCUUUUCUUCCUCCCCGAGAAAGAUGUAAUUAUAACCGGCCCUUGCACAGUAACAUAUAGUAUUGAUAAGAACAAAGGGUGCAGUAUUUUUAUAGGACAAAGCAACAAAAUGGUUAAAAUAUAGGAUAAAGACCAUCUUGAUAAUUACAAGACAGACAGUGGUAGUUUUUUUCCAUAAAAGCUAAUAAUAAAUAAUAAUGAUAAUACAGACGGUGGUCAAUAUAAACAAGUAAUGUUGAUUUUAUUACACACAAGAAGAAAAAAUAUGAUAAAAGGACUUGUAUCCAAAUCUUCCUAAUUUGAGUAUCUUUGUUUAAUUUACUUUUUUUUAUAAUGUAACAGAAUUGGCUGCGGAAUGCAUAAUUAUGCUAGCAGGACAGAGUGCUACAAAUGCAAAAUGCCAAGGGAUUAUGGUGAGAAAAAUUUAGUCUUUGGACGUUUCAUCUGUCUUUUUUCAAAAAUUGUCAAGGUGUUCUUUUGAAGAUAUUAUAUAUCAUCUGUUCUAAUACAUUUAUUACUGUUGCUUGUUUCAGGUGGUGCGGACUAAAAGUAAGAGAAUUUCAGAAGAGUUGCAAUAUCACUUCUUUCCCUCAGCAUCCUUCUCUAAACUACAUCCUAUUUAGUUUUCCCUAUGUAAAGCUCUAGAUAAAUCAUGGAUCUAUGGCCUCUGUUAGAGUCAUAGCAAUGAUUUGUCAUUAGGAAGGAUAUCCAGCAGUUAUUGUUUCUUGCUAAAUGUACUGGCUAACAAGAAGCUUCUGAAAUCCACGUAUAUUUUUCGUAUUUAUUACUGAGAUAAUUAAGCUUUUGAAUUAUGUUAACACUUGCCAAAAUUUCCCUUGUCAGUUUUCCCCCAACGCAAAUGUAACUGCACAUAAAUACUUGCCUUUGUGUUUGUCACACGGAUACACACACAACGGCGGCAGGAAGAAAGCGGUUGUGUGCCGGUGGGGAACAUAUAUUUUAUCGAGUUGUUUCUCAGGAGUGGUCUAAAAAAUUGUUUUGCAUACUUCAUAGAAUAGGCAGAGAAUUCAGACACGUGUCACGGGCCACCAUGGAUUUGACCUACUCUAAUUACUAUGGAAAUAAAAAAAGUUCACAUUCAGAGGACCUAAUUAUGCAGCUUACUUCAAGAAUUUUUUUUUGGUGAACUAAGAGCAUAAUGACAUCAGAAGACCCAGAAGAAUUCCCAACUAGGUUGGCACCUCCCGUGGACCCUCAUCCUAUGCCAAGUGCUCAUAAUAAUAUAUAUAUAUACAAAAAAGGAAAAAGAGUAGCUACAAGAUGGGGGGCAGAACCAAACCCAUCAAAAGAAAACACACAAAAACAAUAUAAUCUCUGAGCACAAAAGAUUAUUAUAUAUGUUAGAACCUAAUGCACUAUAUAACAGCAGAGAUGCUGCUAUAGAUACAUUCCUAAUAAACCCAAUAUAAUUGUUUUCGCUAAUUAACUAGUUGUGGCGCAUGAUUAUCAUCUUAAUUCUAUAUUUCAAAUCAUGCAAAAGAGUUUCAUUAUAUUUAUUCAUUGACUUAAUAUCAACUUUGGAAUGUUGAUGUCAAGUCAAAAAGCAUAUAUAUGUUCUCUCUGAAGGAGCACUAUUAAGCUAUUACCACUUAUCUUUCAAAAUAUUCUGGAGUUUCUUUAAGCAACCUUUUUAUUUAUAUGCUUUGUGGAUGUUAACAGAGGACCCCAUUUUUAGUAAAAUAGUUCAUUCAGCAUAUUGCAGAGAGGAUCCAAAGAGGUGGACCAACUAUCACAUGCAUAGCUUUUCCUUUCUGGGUAACCUCAAUCAUCAUCUAGGAAAAAUAUUAACUAGAUUAAGGAAAUACGUGAUACUAUUUAACUAUAUCCCAAUAUUUAUAUACAAUAUGUCAUCAUUUCUAGAUAUAUAGGCCUUUAUAGUAUACACUAAAAAUCUUAGUAUCUUAUCACUCUAUUUCUUUUGAGUAAUUAAGUGUAUAGAUGCUUAUUAGCUGAUGAAAGGCAACGAAAGGAAAAUAUAGGUUUAAAUAUGAUGUAAGUCCCUGCAAAUGGAUUUGGAUCCUCUAAAGUGCGUAAAGUGUAAAGUGAGGAAAUCAAGGAUUAUGAUAGUAACAAGCCCACAAUUUGUUAUGGUGUACCUAUAAUAUCUACCUUUGAUUUAUUCAUUAAUGGUUUUUUUUUUGAACUGCAAACAAAUUUUAUUAAGCAAACACAUAGUACAAAGAGUACUAUGGUGCUAAAAGAACAAGAUACAUAUACAAAAUGAUGAAAACCAGGGUACACAAAAAACAGCCCUAAACAGAACAAACGAGCUAACAGCCAGUCUAAGAAAGGGGACAACAAACAGCCUGCCAUAAAAACAAAUAAAAUGACUCUUACACAAAGGCAUCCAACACUCACAGCCACGCAAGGAGCACCAAAACAACAGCAGCACCCAAAAACCAGUAGCAGCACAGCAGGACAUCAUCAUCUAAGCAUGCAGUCACCCGGAUUCCAGACCCACUCAUAUAAUAAACAGGACCCAGUGGCUGCAUUAUUAAGAAACCAUUGCCAUGACAGCCUUUGAAUUAAGUCCACUGCAUCUUCCACCACCCCGGCAACAUUAUUAAAAGUCUUGUCGUUUCGAGCCCUCCAAAUGGUCCGGAUAAAGGCUAACCAAACUAUAGCGAAGCCUUUUUUCAUUCUCUUAUUCCUCCCGCUUCCAAUUAGUGACCCAUAUGACAUCAUUACAUUUGCCGGAAGCUCCACGACCACAUCUAACCAUCGGCAAAGACCAUACCAGAUUUGGGCAGCAAAAUCACAGUGCAAAAAAAAGGUGACGCGAAGUUUCCACUUCCCUCCCGCACAUACCACACUCCGCGUCCUCAAUACGAAGAACUCACCUACGACAAAGAUUAUAUUUUGUUGGGAUUCUAUCCAAAAAUAAUUGCCACGCAAGUGCACUAACUUUGGAAGGGGACACACUUUUCCAAAUCGUUCUAAAAGAAAAAGCCUCCAAAGGGGUUAUUAAAUCUCUAGGCAUCAUAAAAUGAUCAAGCCAAUGGUACAAGGACUUGACCGUAAAGCCCUCCGCCUCAUUCAAACUUCAAAACCACCUAUCGUCCACAUUUGUAAUAAUAGAAUUAUUUAAAACCUCUCCCAUCUCCCGGACUAAAUCAUUCUCCCACACAAAGAAAUGGGACUAAACCACCUAUUCAUUAACGGUUGAUACUUGAUAUUACUUACUUUACACUAUAAAGUAAAUCACUCACUUUACAGGAACCAGAUCCCCUGCAAAUAUAGCGCUAAAUUUGUUUGUUUGAGUUCAGUCCCUUCAAAUUAAAAAAUUAUUACUUUUGAUCUCUGACAUCAUAUGUGGCUAAAUAGUAAAUAUAAUGCCAACAAUAUUUGAUUGAUUGGGAUGGGAGAACCUGUCCCACUGGUUCCCCGACAGAGAUUAGUCAUCGCUAACGGUAGUAUAAACUUCGUAUCAAUAUCAUAGUAACCAAAAAAAAAACUUACAGGGACUAAAACCAAAAAGUGAGGGACUAACAUCAUAUUUAAACUGAAGGGGUGUUUUUCAAGAGGUGUCCUAAUAUUUAAAGUGAGGGACUAACAUCAUAUUGCAUUAACAAAAUACAAUAAAUUUCAAGAGGUGUCCUAAUAUACACUUAAGGUGUUAGCUCAAGGUAAAAGUUUAGUCUUAUAAGCUCAAUAUAGAGUUCAUAUUCUCUAGGGGAACCGCAUAGAAUAUUAACUAGUGUAACUAACUCUGAUUAAUAAAAAGUUUCCUCUGCCCCAAAUUUUUACUAGAUUUCUAAAAAAGGCAUACUAAAAUCAGCAAAUUUACAUUCGUUUGACUAAUUUCUAUACUCUAUUAUUUUUCCACUAAAUUUUAUACUUAACAAAUAAAAUAUAGCAUUAGAAUUAGAAAGUGCGGUAGUAUUAAGCUCCGGCGAAAGAAGAGUGAAAUAGUGUUACCUUGCAUUUGCAAAAGAGUGAUUCCACAACACGAAUCGAUGAUCCAUUGGUGACUAUAAUACAUCAAUGCUUCUAUUUCUCGCGGCCGCUAAGGGAGAGGAGAGGGGAAGUAAACCUAUGGAGUGAAGACUUUCUCACUGUUUCUGGUUUCCGGCGACCAACUCCGGCUGCGUUUACUGGUCAGUUGCGACUCCACUUGCAUUGAUGAAGGAGCUGCUUACAUGAUGAUGGUCCCUAUCAGUAUCUCUUUUUCUUUUUCUUUUUCAUGGCUGUUAGGGUCCCACAUUGAUUCUCUCCGAUUUUGCUUAAUCCAAUAGUUGAUAUACAAAGGAUGAGUGAGAAUCAAC